UUGGAUAGAGACUUUGCUUGAGUCAUCUUUGAACAGGGCAUACAUACACUUUUAAACACAUACUGGCAUGAUUGAUACAUAUAUUUACAUACAUAUUAGAGAGGUUGAGCAAGAGUACAUGAUUGCAUUUUGCGAUUGUAAACACAGCGGGAAAAUCAAAAUUAGUCAGACUUUUAGUCAAAUUCAGGAUUACAAAUCUCCGUCUCCAGGCAUCAUUGUAUUGUACUCAUAUAUCCAACUUACAGGAAUUUCAAAUCUGCCGCCGGAAAUUAAUGAGAAUUACAAUCCUCCCAUAAGAUAUUCUUGCUCAACCUCAAGAAAAUACAAUCAUAGAUUGCGAUUGUGAUUCUAGCUACAAUCAUUUUUUUACAAUCUUGUACUCUCGCUCAACCUCUCUAUUCUGUUAUGCGUAAAAUUGAAGAAUUGAAACGAGUAUAAGCUAUGUACAUACAUCCUGAGCGACACUUCCUUACUGAUAACCAAUACUAGCAACAUUUGUUUAAUGUUGGUUCUAUCCUGGGACGUUCAACAUAAUUAUAUAAAUAUUUAGCAUCCUUUUUUACAUCAAACAAAAACAAUUACAUUGAAACUCCUACUGGCUCACUUUUACGUCGUCAAUUUGCAUACAACUUCCUAUUAAACAAAAAACCUAUAAUGCAUGAUAACAACUGCUUCCAGUAUAAAUUCUGGACAUUUCCCCCUCCUGAUCACUCCUGCAAAAACCACCAGGAAAAGCACCAAGCAGUCAUCUGAAACAAUCCAGAAACAUUUUACGCCUAUAUCUACAGACCUCAAUGGAUCAAAUUGAUUUCGAACCAACUCCGACAUUUCUUCACAAUAUGAGCCAACCGAAUCUCCUCUGCUGCAUUAAACCUCGAGGAACAAAGAAGUCGAUUCAUGCCAUGCAAGAGUUUGCCUCAAAUCCGAAAAUGACCGUGAUCCCUUCCACAGGCCGAAAAUUGUCGGUGGAAUUCUCACUGGCACAAAUGGGAGUCGAAUCCUCACACUUCCAUUUCACUGCACCCCCCUCCAAUUUGCAUAAUAGUUUUUAAUUAGUUGCUAGAUAUACGAUUCUCAUUAGUUUAAUUUGCUAGCUAUUUCGAAUAAAUCGUAAAAAAUUCUAACAGAAAA